AAGUCGUAACAAGGUUUCCGUAGGUGAACCUGCGGAAGGAUCAUUACCGAGAUAGGGUCCCUUAGGGCCCGAACCUCCCACCCAUUGUUUACUUACCUUUGUUGCUUUGGCGGGCCGUGGAGCGUUAGCCCCCCGUCGACUUCGGUGGACGAGUGCCCGUCAGAGGCCCCUUUAAACUCUUUGAAUAAAUGAAGUCUGAGUCUUAAUAAAUUUUAAGCAAAACUUUCAACAACGGAUCUCUUGGUUCUG
rnacentral:misc_RNA from 1 species